UACGGGGGGGGCAAGCGUUGUUCGGAAUUACUGGGCGUAAAGGGCUCGUAGGCGGCCAACUAAGUCGGAUGUGAAAUCCCCAAGCUUAACUUGGGAACUGCAUCCGAUACUGGAUGGCUUGAAUCCGGGAGAGGGAUGCAGAAUUCCAGGUGUAGCGGUGAAAUGCGUAGAUAUCAGGAAGAACACCAAUGGCGAAGGCAGCUCUCUGGGACGGUACUGACGCUGAGACGCGAAAGCGUGGGGAACGAACAGG
rnacentral:rRNA from 1 species